UACCUGGUUGAUUCUGCCAGUAGUCAUAUGCUUGUCUCAAAGAUUAAGCCAUGCAUGUCUAAGUAUAAGCAACUAUACGGUGAAACUGCGAAUGGCUCAUUAUAUCAGUUAUCGUUUAUUUGAUAGUACCUUACUACAUGGGAUAACCGUGGUAAUUCUAGAGCUAAUACAUGCUAAAAACCUCGACUUCGGAAGGGGUGUAUUUAUUAGAUAAAAAACCAAUGCCCUUCGGGGCUCCUUGGUGAUUCAUAAUAACUUAACGAAUCGCAUGGCCUUGCGCCGGCGAUGGUUCAUUCAAAUUUCUGCCCUAUCAACUUUCGAUGGCUACCAUGGUUUCUACGGGUAACGGGGAAUUGUAUGUGCACCUUUGAUCAUCAUUUUUAGAAUACUUCGCUAACGUGGAUUUUAGAGGGUUCGACUCCGGAGAGGGAGCCUGAGAAACGGCUACCACAUCCAAGGAAGGCAGCAGGCGCGCAAAUUACCCAAUCCCGAUUCGGGGAGGUAGUGACAAUAAAUACUGAUAGGGAGCUCUUUUGGGUUUCCUAAUCGGAAUGAGUACAAUCUAAACCCAUUAACGAGGAACAAUUGGAGGGCAAGUCUGGUGCCAGCAGCCGCGGUAAUUCCAGCUCCAAUAGCGUAUAUUAAAGUUGUUGCAGUUAAAAAGCUCGUAGUUGAAACUUGGGUCUGGCUGUCCGGUCCGCCUCACCGCGUGCACUGGUUCGGCCGGACCUUUCCUUCUGGGGAGCCGCAUGCCCUUUAUUGGGUGUGCCGGGGAACCAGGACUUUUACUUUGAAAAAAUUAGAGUGUUCAAAGCAGGCAUAUGCUCGAAUACAUUAGCAUGGAAUAAUAGAAUAGGACGUGUGGUUCUAUUUUGUUGGUUUCUAGGACCGCCGUAAUGAUUAAUAGGGAUAGUCGGGGGCAUCUGUAUUUUCCAGCAAGAGGUGAAAUUCUUGGAUUUGGAAAAGACAAACUACUGCGAAAGCAUUUGCCAAGGAUGUUUUCAUUAAUCAGGGAACGAAAGUUAGGGGAUCGAAGACGAUCAGAUACCGUCGUAGUCUUAACCAUAAACUAUGCCGACUAGGGAUCGGACGGUGUUAUUAUUUUGACCCGUUCGGCACCUUACGAGAAAUCAAAGUUUUUGGGUUCUGGGGGGAGUAUGGUCGCAAGGCUGAAACUUAAAGACAUUGACGGAAGGGCACCACCAGGGGAGCCUGCGGCUUAAUUUGACUCAACACGGGGAAACUCACCAGGUCCAGAUUUGAUAAGGAUUGACAGAUUGAGAGCUCUUUCUUGAUUUCAAAGGUGGUGGUGCAUGGCCGUUCUUAGUUGGUGGAGUGAUUUGUCUGCUUAAUUGCGAUAACGAACGAGACCUUAACCUGCUAAAUAGCCAGGUCAGCUUUGGCUGGCCGCAGGCUUCUUAGAGGGACUAUCGGCUCAAGCCGAUGGAAGUUUGAGGCAAUAACAGGUCUGUGAUGCCCUUGCGCGCUACACUGACAGAGACAACGAGUUCAUCUCCUUGGCCGGAAGGUCUGGGUAAUCUUGUUAAACUCUGUCGUGCUGGGGAUAGAGCAUUGCAAUUAUUGCUCUUCAACGAGGAAUGCCUAGUAAGCGCAAGUCAUCAGCUUGCGUUGAUUACGUCCCUGCCCUUUGUACACACCGCCCGUCGCUACUACCGAUUGAAUGGCUCAGUGAGGCCUUCGGACUGGCCCCAGGAGGUCGGCAACGACCACCCAGGGCCGGAAAGUUGGUCAAACUUGGUCAUUUAGAGGAAGUAAAAGUCGUAACAAGGUUUCCGUAGGUGAACCUGCGGAAGGAUCAUUA
rnacentral:rRNA from 1 species